GCGGCCCUGUUCCUGAACAGGAAGCGGAAGCAGGAAGGAACUGAGAACACCAGCAUCUGCUGCCGCCCUGAAUCAGCGUUAGCAUGUGGAGGCAACCUCAGCCCCCAGUUUUUGAAGAAGGUGAUUCAGAUUCAGACACAGGAAUUAUGGUGACGGUAGAAAUGGACUGGAAGGUUCGUUCCCCUUGCCCACCAAGACUCCAGAGCAGAUGGUGUGUCCGGAAUUGGUGGGUUCUUGGUCUCACUGACUUCAAGAAUGAAGCCGCGGACCCUCAAGGUGUUACAGCUCUUAAGGUUGCGCGUCUGGAGUUUGUUCCUUCUGAUGUUCGGAUGUGUUUGGAGUUUCUUCCUUCUGGUGGGUUCGUAGUCUCGCUGGCUCAGGAGUGAAGCUGCAGACCUUCACGAGAGUUAAGAGAGCAAAUCAAGACAUGAAAAUGAUCCCCCCGUGGAAUAUGCCCCUGCUAUUGAGAGAAUAAACUACUGAUCUACGCAACAGCAUGGAUGAAUCUCAGAGACAUUUUGCUAACUGAGAGAAGUCAGACACAGAAGACAUAGUCAAUGAUUCCAUGUGUAUGAAAUUUCUAGAAAAGGCAAAACUAUAGAGACAGAAUGGCUGAUCAAUGUUGUGGCUGAUCAAAUCGAGGCACAGAAUGAUCAAUGGUUGCCUGGAGCUGCGGGUGGGAACAGGAGUGACCUCAAAGGAGCAAGGGGAACUUUUGGGGGUGGAUGGGAAUAUUGGGAAACUGGACUGUGAUGGUUGCUAAGUGCGUCAGUUCACGGAAACCUAUCACACUGUACCCUCACAAUGAGUGACGUUUAUGGUUUGUAAGUUAGACCUCAAUAAAGCUGUUUGUAAUCAUUUUA
ensembl:lncRNA novel transcript, antisense to DSCR3